GGGGAAUAUUGCACAAUGGGCGAAAGCCUGAUGCAGCAACGCCGCGUGAAGGAUGAAGGCUUUCGGGUCGUAAACUUCUGUCCUUGGGGAAGAAAAAAAUGACGGUACCCAUGGAGGAAGCCCCGGCUAACUACGUGCCAGCAGCCGCGGUAAUACGUAGGGGGCGAGCGUUAUCCGGAAUUAUUGGGCGUAAAGAGUGCGUAGGUGGUUACCUAAGCGCAGGGUUUAAGGCAAUGGCUCAACCAUUGUUCGCCUUGCGAACUGGGCUACUUGAGUGCAGGAGAGGAAAGCGGAAUUCCUAGUGUAGCGGUGAAAUGCGUAGAUAUUAGGAGGAACACCAGUGGCGAAGGCGGCUUUCUGGACUGUAACUGACACUGAGGCACGAAAGCGUGGGGAGCAAAC
rnacentral:rRNA from 1 species